ensembl:lncRNA novel transcript
GCUGGUCGCAAGCCCGCCCCUACCCGCUAAUCACCUGGCACCGAGCUCGAAGCGGCGCCGAGUCGUUCGCACGCGGAGAGGGAGGGUAGUUAGAGGGCCAUCCUUUUCUGCCGUUAUGGAUUUAAACCCAUAAAGAGGAAACGAGAAACCAGAGGCUCAAAGCUAAGGAAGCUCGCACCUACCGGCUUAACUUCGCACGCCUCUCCAGGAGCCGGGAACCAUCGCCCUUGGGCGCUCCCCGAUGCACGCCGGGAUACGCCUGGCGCCCCUCGGUGUGCUGCAGAGCAUGCCGGGAAAGGCACCUCUCCCGAUCUCCUGGCGCUCACCUCCCGGGCGUUCCUUUCGUGUCCCCUUGAAAGCCCGGUCCUUGGGCUUGGAAUGAGACGGUUUGGGUAAUUAUGGGAGUGUGGCGAGACCCUGACUUCCUUCAGCAAAGAGACAGCUUCUGAUUCAUGUUCGUCUCACCAUAAUCAGUCCUUGAAGGCUCACCUAUCCUCGUGGCUGCAGCCAUUUCCCUCUCUGCAGAUACUUCCAAAAGUUACACUAGAUGUUAACUGAGCACUAAGGACACUACGUGAAAGACUGGAGUACAAACAUCCAAAGGACUGAAGAAUUUGAAGAGCACUGAAUGUGGGAGAUAGGACAGAGGAAAGGAGUCAAAUGUCUCCAAGAAACGAAGCCUGUGUGCCCUGGAGAAUGAAGAAGCAUCAUCAAAUCGGGGAGACUGAAGGAGGAAUCGGUUUUCAGAGAAAAACAAUUUAUAUUGUCUUAGCUGUGUUAGGUGGCAUACUAUUACAUUCAAGUGAAGCUGUGUAAUAGACAGAGAUGACAAAUUUUAUUCAUUUAUGAAUGCCCCCCAAAAUAUAUAUAUAGUUUUUGCCCUCAUGUCUCUUAUUGGGAUGACAGACAUAAAUCAAAGAAUUCCAUAAAUAAAUAUUAAAAUACAAUUUGUGAUAAAUGCUACAAA